UUGCUUUUCUUAUAACUGUUUAUGAAAUAUUUGUUAUUUAGACUGUUUUAAAUGGAGAAGAAACAAAAAACUGCCAGGAACGGUUUUUGAGGAAACAGCAAAUUGAACAUGGGCAACUCUCGAAUCGAAAUGCUGUUUCAUUAUACCUUACUGUAAAACUAAAUCUAUCUUUUUUGUAGGUAUGUACGUCAUUUCUGAUUUACCCAUUCUCCAGCUGACAGAGAUCAACAGGCAGUGAAACUGCAACAUAAAUAUUCAAAGUAGGAGAAGAUGCUCACAAUCAUUGACGAGAAAACAUGUUGCUUGAAUUACAAAUUAAAAUUUACUGGCAUUACAUUAGCUGGCACCCUUUCAACAAGCAAAAGCAUCCCAAAGACAAACAGCUUUUGGAGACACAAACUACUUCAGUGCAACUACCACGUUGCUAAACUGAGUUAAAAUCAGAAACCAAGACUCGAAAUAUUCCAUAUCAUCAAGGCGUUGAUGCCAGUAUUUGAGAUUGGUCCUAGUUCACCCUCAGUUAAUCUGGCUGAAUAAAUUGAGUCACAACAGGAAACUUCUUAGGUUUAUCCCAUGAAAAUAGAUAUGGAAUUUGAAGUGUUUGGAUCGUGGACCGAAUCAUUCAUUCGGCUGAAGAUCUCGGUUCUCUGGGAUGACUCGGCGUAAUAACUCACACAUCUUGUUCAGGAGCAACUCACUCCCCUCAUUUGGUUAUUCACAAUUUCGCUGAAUUCAUGUAGAAUAAGGAUCGGUAAUCCACAGCCAUGCGAACGUUGUUCACCCUUUCAUUCGUGGCGCCAUUCCCAUUCGUGAAUAUCAAUUACUUCGUUCUCAAUCCGUUUUCGUGUACAGGACGAGAUUGAUGCUUUGCACGAAAAUUCAUGAUGUGCUUUCAUUUCUUUGCUUUCAUUUCAAAAGUCGUUAUAGUGGACACUAGACAGUGGAAGAAUUAGCCAAAUGAGGCAAACCUCCAAGGGAAAACAUCAAACAUGAAGAGAAAACAAAUCGUAUUGUUGGAAUGUCUAGUGACUGUAUUCUGGGAAUAAGUCCGGUGCAUUAUUUACGUUACCUCCAAACAACCUAAUUAGAUUAUGAAGAUGAUUUUGAAUUGAUUGCCGUCAUUUUGGCAUUGGCUUUCUCCCCCUCCGCAUGAAAUUGAAUGAAGCAGCAUUUAAGGUGAACACUUCCACUUAUUUACAUGAGUUGACUUGCAU